AGCGAACGCUGGCGGCAGGCUUAACACAUGCAAGUCGAGCGGGCAUAGCAAUAUGUCAGCGGCAGACGGGUGAGUAGCGCGUGGGAACGUACCUUUUGGUUCGGAACAACUGAGGGAAACUUCAGCUAAUACCGGAUAAGCCCUUACGGGGAAAGAUUUAUCGCCGAAAGAUCGGCCCGCGUCUGAUUAGCUAGUUGGUGAGGUAAUGGCUCACCAAGGCGACGAUCAGUAGCUGGUCUGAGAGGAUGAUCAGCCACAUUGGGACUGAGACACGGCCCAAACUCCUACGGGAGGCAGCAGUGGGGAAUAUUGGACAAUGGGCGCAAGCCUGAUCCAGCCAUGCCGCGUGAGUGAUGAAGGCCCUAGGGUUGUAAAGCUCUUUUGUGCGGGAAGAUAAUGACGGUACCGCAAGAAUAAGCCCCGGCUAACUUCGUGCCAGCAGCCGCCGUAAAAC
rnacentral:rRNA from 1 species